rnacentral:rRNA from 1 species
AGGAUCUUCCGCAAUGGGCGAAAGCCUGACGGAGCGACACCGCGUGCAGGAUGAAGGCCUUCGGGUUGUAAACUGCUGUCACGCUAUGGGAACCGCUGAACGUGAACAGCGUUCAGUCUGACCAAAGCGAGAGGAAGCACCGGCUAACUCGGUGCCAGCAGCCGCGGUAAGACAGAGGGUGCAAACGUUGCUCGGAAUCACUGGGCAUAAAGCGCACGUAGGCCGUUCGCUAAGUCCGAUGUGAAAUCCCCCGGCUCAACCGGGGAACUGCAUCAGAUACUGGCGGACUCGAGAAUUGUAGGGGUGGACGGAACUCCAGGUGGAGCGGUGAAAUGCGUAGAUAUCUGGAGGAACACCGGAGGCGAAAGCGGUCCACUGGGCAAUCUCUGACGCUGAGGUGCGAAAGCUAGGGUAGCAAAC